GACGAACGCUGGCGGCGUGCUUAACACAUGCAAGUCGAACGGAAAGGCCCUGCUUUUGUGGGGUGCUCGAGUGGCGAACGGGUGAGUAACACGUGAGUAACCUGCCCUUGACUUUGGGAUAACUUCAGGAAACUGGGGCUAAUACCGGAUAGGAGCUCCUGCUGCAUGGUGGGGGUUGGAAAGUUUCGGCGGUUGGGGAUGGACUCGCGGCUUAUCAGCUUGUUGGUGGGGUAGUGGCUUACCAAGGCUUUGACGGGUAGCCGGCCUGAGAGGGUGACCGGCCACAUUGGGACUGAGAUACGGCCCAGAGUCCUACGGGAGACAGCAGUGGGGAGUAUGGCACAAUGGGCGGAAGCCUGAGGCAGCAGCGCCGCGUGCGGGAUGACGGCCUUCGGGUUGUGAACCGCUUUCGCCUGUGACGAAGCGUGAGUGACGGUAAUGGGUAAAGAAGCACCGGCUAACUACGUG
rnacentral:rRNA from 1 species